AUGAAGCAUACAAUUGUUUCAAUAUUUUAUCAAUGAUAGUGUGCUAUGCAUGUUUUGAUUUAGUUCGUUUCAGAUACGACAUGACAUGAAGAGUUGACAGUCGAACAGAGCUGAGCAAAGCAGAAAGGUAAGUGUGUUUCAUUUUAGUAUGGACACUUGUAUUUUGUUUUUAUAUGGUAUGUUUUGUGCAUGCUAUGUUUCAGGUGUACUUGUAGUCAGCGACGAAGACGAUUCAAGAAGAGGAACAUUGCUGAGAAAGUGAAUGGGACUUGCAAACAGGAUUCAAGUUCCUGGUGUAGACAGAGAAAUGUGUUUGAAGAAGGAAUUCUACUACUGUGAUUCAACUCUACAGAAGCAAGGUAAGUAGAAACACAAUUUUGGUUUAAUUUAACUCAUGUGUUUUGCACUGCAUGCUAUUUUUCAGGUCUCUCACGCAGUGAUGGAAAAGAAGAAGAUUUCAAGAAAGAAUCACUGCUGCAACUCAGGCCUAUAACAAGGUAAGUGUUUACUAUAUUGUAUACAAAAUGUUUCUCUGUUUUACUCUGUUUCAGGUUUCAAUUGCAAAGAUGUUGCAGAGAUGUUUUGACAGCUUGAGACAGAAAAGAAAUUCAGCAGCUGUGUCUCGACUCUAGCCACGAGGUAAGUCAAAACAAAUAUACUGGUUUGUAUGUAAUGUUGUUAUGCCAUUCUAUGUUUCAGACUUACAUUGCUGUGACUGUUCCACAGUGGGUCAAAAAAGAGACGAAUACAGGUUUCAAGAAGAAAAUUGGCUGUUAAAAACCUGCACAAAAUAUGAGGUAAGUAAACUACUCUUUUGGUUUGUUUUGUGCUUUGUUAUGCUUAACUAUUUUUCAGAUUGGAAUGGUGGGUCGUUACAGAGCAGACUUUUGGACUACUGAGAAGUUGAGAAACAGAGAAUGAUUCAAGAUCAGCUAGGUAAGUCUUGAUUAUUAUGCAUUGCUAAAUGUUUUUUUCAUUUCAGUAUGGCUGUGGUAAGUACACAUACUUUCUAUAAUUUCAUAUUGAACUGUUUUGAUGACUUGUAUACUGCUAUGCAAAAUGUCUGUUUUUCAUUUCAGUAGCCUGUGGUAAGUACACUAACUUUCUUUAAUUUUCAUAUUGAACUGUUUUGAUGACUUGUAUUCUGCUAUACAAAAUGUGCUUUUUUCAAUUUCAGGUCAGCAAUGGUAAGUAUAGUGUGUUUUUUUAUGUAUAAUUUUGUAUACAUAUUGUUUUUUUCAUCAUAGCAUGUCUUUUAUAUUUAUGCUUUGUGUAAGUAAAAUGUUCAUAAAUCAUUCUUAUCUUCAAACUAAAAAUGUAUUGUGCUAUGCAAAAUGUCUGUAUGUUUUCAGUUGCCAGAGGUGAGUACCAUUACAGUUGAAAAGUUAGUUUUGUUUAGUUAAAGUUUUGGUUCACAGUUCUGUUUGUUAUUUGGCAAAAUUUACAUGUAUGCAUUGAGUCUUGAUUUCAGCUCGAUUGUGGACUGAAGAAGAUUGCCAGCAGAGGGAUUGGAUACAAAAUACAAACUUUACUGCUAGACGAGUGUUCUCUACUACUUGACGAGUCAGCUUUACUACCAGGCGAGCAGUGACAACAAGGCGCCUUUGUGGAAACAACACAACAAAAAACUGUACUGCUAGACGAGCAGUGACAGAAAGGCGCCUGAACAUGCAACACAAAACAAAAAAUGCCAAUAUACAAACCUUGAUGUGAACACCGAGUAGUCAAUGCAUACGUGUGGCGUACAGCUGCGACAAAACCGUGGGUCCAUCGCACCGAUAACUCGAACAUUGGCCCGCGUAUGGACAUCAGUGCAACUUUGUGAAUCCAUGUAACUUUGUGAAUCCAUGUAACAUUGCGAAUAUGUGUCGAUCGAAAAAUGUGUACAUUCUGCACUGAAACGAACUCGGUGUUGCAAGUGGCAAGUGUUGACAGUGUGUAUGUUUAUGUUUAUGUUUUUACAUGAAAACUAAAGGAGAUUGUUCUCCUACCUUUUUUUUCCUUGUUUUAUUGCGCUGGCCAGCAAUAUUGAUGUAUUGAUGUAUGUGUUUGUGUUUAAACUAUGCAAUACCAAAAUCAAACAAAAAAUAAACAUUAACAGUCAUUAACUGUGUUUGGGCGGCCGAGGGGUUUAAGACUCCACAAGUGUGAAGCGCACUGAUAGCACUUGGGGGUGAACACCUCGGUAUUUCGGUGCUAAAAUGUUUUCACGGUGCUUAUCUUGACGCACUGUUAAGACUACCAACCAGUUAAUGAUUGCUUCAUCUUUAAACAAAAAGUAAGUCUCUACUUUGGCACAAGAGACUCCAAGUACCAAAUACCAACAAUUAAAAAGCAGACGUUUUUCAAAACUAUGAUCGCUGAGAUUGAUAGUCAGAUGGAGUCCUGCCCAGUUAGCUGUGUAGCGGUCUAGGGCGGGGUUGCAAGUCAAUACGAAAUGAGGCGCUAUAAAGCAACUCGUCCCCGUUAUGACCGUCAAUACUUUCGACACUAUCUGGGAAUCCUUUCAACACCACAUUGUUGCGCUGUUGGAAGGGUGGUAGGCACGCAUGGUGACAUGCCUGUGCUUUGCUAUGCGACACCAUGGUAUUUUCGUACGGUGACACGAAAUAUCUUAAUCUGGCUCUCUCAGAAACGCAGGCACGCGUUGACCGAACCUGACCGAUGACCGAGCAAUAACAUUUCUAUUAAGUGCUUCAAUGCACAAAGUCUGCUAGGGCUGGGGUGGGAA